AUUGAACGCUGGCGGCAGGCCUAACACAUGCAAGUCGAGCGGAGCGGCGGACGGGUGCGUAAUGCCUAGGAAUCUGCCUGGUCGUGGGGGAUAACGUCCGGAAACGGGCGAUAGUGCCACAUACUAUCACAUUAGCCUAGGUCGGAUUAGCUAGUUGGUGGGGGAAAGGCCUACCAAGGCGACGGUCCGUAACUGGUCUGAGAGGAUGAUCAGCCACACUGGAACUGAGACACGGUCCAGACUCCUACGGGAGGCAGCAGUGGGGAAUAUUGGACAAUGGGCGAAAGCCUGAUCCAGCCAUGCCGCGUGUGUGAAGAAGGUCUUCGGAUUGUAAAGCACUUUAAGUUGGGAGGCGUUACCAACAGAAUAAGCACCGGCUAACUCCGUGCCAGCAGCCGCGGUAAUAC
rnacentral:rRNA from 1 species